AACGAACGCUGGCGGCAGGCUUAACACAUGCAAGUCGAGCGCCCCGCAAGGGGAGCGGCAGACGGGUGAGUAACGCGUGGGAAUCUACCUUUUGCUACGGGAUAGCUCCGGGAAACUGGAAGUAAUACCGUAUGUGCCCUUUGGGGGAAAGAUUUAUCGGCAAAGGAUGAGCCCGCGUUGGAUUAGCUAGUUGGUGGGGUAAAGGCCUACCAAGGCGACGAUCCAUAGCUGGUCUGAGAGGAUGACCAGCCACACUGGGACUGAGACACGGCCCAGACUCCUACGGGAGGCAGCAGUGGGGAAUAUUGGACAAUGGGCGCAAGCCUGAUCCAGCCAUGCCGCGUGAGUGAUGAAGGCCCUAGGGUUGUAAAGCUCUUUCACCGGUGACGAUAAUGACGGUAACCGGAGAAGAAGCCCCGGCUAACUUCGUGCCAGCCGCCGCGGUAA
rnacentral:rRNA from 1 species